UUGGAAAUCGCGCCUCAAUUCAAAGAAAGUUGGAGUCAGCUAUGUGAAUCGUCAGAAACAAUUACGCCUCAAUUCCAACAAAGUUGGAACUAUGACUCGAUUCCAAGAGAGUUGGAGUCGCACCUCAAUUCCAAGAAAGUAGGAGUCAGGUAUGUGAAUCGUCGCCUCAAUUCCAAUAAAGUUGGAAUCGCGCCUCAAUUCCAAUAAAGUUGGAGUCAGCUAUGUGAAUUGUCACAACCAAUUAUACCCUCGAUUCCAAGAAAGUUGGAAGUAGGACUCUGACUCCAAGAAAGUUGGACUUCGCGCCUCAAUUCAAAGAAAGUUGGAGUCAGCUAUGUGAAUCGUCAGAAACAAUUACGCCUCAAUUCCAACAAAGUUGGAACUAUGACUCGAUUCCAAGAGAGUUGGAGUCGCACCUCAAUUCCAGGAAAGUAGGAGUCAGGUAUGUGAAUCGUCGCCUCAAUUCCAAUAAAGUUGUAAUCGCGCCUCAAUUCCAAUAAAGUUGGAGUCAGCUAUGUGAAUUGUCACAACCAAUUAUACCCUCGAUUCCAAGAAAGUUGGAAGUAGGACUCUGACUCCAAGAAAGUUGGAC
rnacentral:lncRNA from 1 species